AUUAUACAUACCUGAGAGGACACAAGGAAAAUGCUUGGACAGGAUGGCCGGACAGGUGCCAGCGGCUGGUGAACAGGGCUGCAGAUUGAUGAUUAGACUGGGCAGAAUGGACACAUGGACUGGUACCAAUUUAAGGUCAUGUAAAAGUCUGCUGUCUGUUAGUGGAGGGCGAUUUUAAACAAAGCUGGAUUACUACAGCAGAAAAAAGUAUUCUCAACCUCCUUCACAGUCAUGAACAAGUCCAAUCACACAAACCACGAUAUCAGCCACUGAAGAUCAAACUGCUGUCUCUCAAUCCAAUUCAUCUCAUUCUCAACCAGUGACGUGGUGUCAGUGGAGGCAACCCUCACCCGAUGUUCCGCUCCCCUAUCCUUCUCACCUAAUCUCAACUCUACACCUCUCUUCUGCGCAGCAGCAGCUUGUUUUCAUUCUCUGCCCCCUUCAGAACAGCGUCCCCGCUCUCAACCUUUCCUACUCAUUGUGCGCUGAUCCUGCAAAAAUAGCAAAGGCCUUCUUUCGGUUUUAAUUAUUCAUGUGUGAUUACAGGCUGCGGCUCCUCUCCACUGCAAGGUAAGAAAAAAGUGCCUCUACAGCAGGUGUGUAUGUGGGUGCGUGUCAAUAUAACUACUAUAUAACCUUUUGUGUGAGCGUGUCUGUUUAUAUUUAAAGUGUUAACCUUGAUCUUUACAGUUUGACUCUACUUCCACAAGUUUGCCCCUCGUUCCUAUUUGC
ensembl:lncRNA